rnacentral:lncRNA from 1 species
GCUUCCAACAGUUGGUGCAGGAGGGGAAGUUUCUGGAAGCCUACCUGAGCGUCUCCGCGUCAGCAUGGGAAGGGCAGGACUGCGGCCCCCAGUACCAGGCUCUGGCCCAGAGCAUGUGGCAAGUGGUCCAGCAGGCUCUGGAGGGCGUCAGGCUCGGCCAGGAGCUGGAGCUGAAGCUCCAGGCGGUGCUGGACACUGUGGAGUACACACAGGACCAGCCCCCGAGCCCGGAGGCCGGUACCCUCGAGGACGGCACAGUCGCCACCUGGGGCAGUCAGCUGGAGAGGCUGCUGAGAAAUGACGCUGAGGCCCGAGUGCCCACCUGGGACCCCAGGGACGAGCUGGGCCCUUUCCUGGAGAAGCUAAAGGAGGCUGUGAGACAGGGCCUGGGGUUGCUGAGGGCGAGCCGGCUGGGGGCCCGUCUCUGGACGAUCUACAGCACCUGCUUCCAGGAGGUCCUCCUCAGCCGCCUCUUGGAGCUCAAGCACUCCUGCGGCACCAGCUGGAACAGCUGCUGCGUGCUGUAUGCCUGGGGCAGGACGACCUUGUUUGGGCAGCUGGGGUGAGUCCUCCUGGAGGAGCUUGGGGUCCUGGGUGAGGGCCCCCAGGCCAGGGCUGCGGUCGACACAGAGCCUUUCGAGGGGCCACCUGGGCGGGGCUGGUGGCCGGAGAAGGCAGAUGCAGCCCCAGCCUCGGGGACACAUGUGUGUCAGUGUGCUUGUCGUGUAUAUGUGCCCGUGCGUUAGUAUGUUAGGGUGUGUUUUUGUGUGUGUGUGUGUGGGGGGAGGCUCACGGUCCACACUUGUGUGUGACCAGAGACUGGUCUACGCCAACAGAGCCUCUGGCUCUGGUUUCUCAACCCCAGCUGCCCUCUCUAGUCACUGGGCCUUGUGCAGGGGCGAGGGGCGGGCAGCACAGGCUGGGGAGGGGGCGAGGCCCGGCCUGGAGUCCACUGCCCUUAGCGCUGAGCUGUCCUCCGCAGCCCAGUCCCUCCCCCAACCCCAGCUCAGCUCUGCGCCCCUCGUGGUUCCUUCCAAACCCAGCAGGGAGACGCUUCCGAAUGCACCUUCCACCUCCCAGAAGCCCACGGCCGGGUACCUCUUGGACUCCAUGAUGUUUGUGACCUGGAUGUCCCAAGUGCAGAAGAAGCUGGUGGGGCUGGUCCAGGAAAGGCUGGAGGAGACUCUAGAAAAUGUCCUGAUCUGCGAUCAGAAAAAGUGGGCCCCGUUCUCCCACCCAACGUUCCUUGAAAUCUUCCAGCUGCUGGAAGAAGCCAUAAUUGCAGCAAGACCCAUUGGACCAUCGGUCACUAGCCAAGUUCAAGCCAUGGUUCUGGAAAUAUUUUCAAAGUUUCUGAACAGGUACCAGGACAAGGCUGUCCACUUCCUGCAGCAGAACGCCACUGCGGGGGCCUUCCCCGAGGUGCACCUGCUGGGAAACUGCUGCAUCCUCAGGGUCUGGCAGAACCCUGACUGCCCUGAACAGAGGUGGAAGUGA